rnacentral:misc_RNA from 1 species
AUUCCGUAGGUGAACCUGCGGAAGGAUCAUUCAUAAUAAGUGUUUUAUGGCACUUUUUUAAAUCCAUAUCCACCUUGUGUGCAAUGUCAGGGUUGAUUUUUCUCUCGAGAGGAUCAACCCCAAACAUCAACUAUAUCUCAACUCUUUGUCUGAAAAAUAUUAUGAAUAAAACAAUUCAAAAUACAACUUUCAACAACGGAUCUCUUGGCUCUC